UACGAAGGGGGCUAGCGUUGUUCGGAUUUACUGGGCGUAAAGCGCACGUAGGCGGUUUUGUUAAGUCAGAGGUGAAAUCCCACAGCUCAACUGUGGAACUGCCUUUGAUACUGGCAAGCUAGAGUCCGGAAGAGGUAAGUGGAACUCCUAGUGUAGAGGUGGAAUUCGUAGAUAUUAGGAAGAACACCGGCGGCGAAGGCGGCUCACUGGCCAUAUACUGACGCUGAAACACG
rnacentral:rRNA from 1 species